CACUGUUUUCCUUACUCGACUUCACGACAGGAUAAUGAUAGGCAACGAAAGCGCUGAUUAAUUCACUCGCGUGAAGUGCAAACAAAAGCAGUGACACGUUUUUAUAAAAUAUAAAAAACGCUUCUUCAGCGUCCGACGAAGGAAUAUAUACGGAUAUACUGACGUCCAUUCGACCAGUUAAACUGUUAAAAUUGGGGAGUUUUCCACACAAAAUGUUUAUUGCCCGACGAGGGUUCCUUUGCGCGUGCACAGCAAUGCCGACAAUUUCAUCUGGACAAAUCGGUCUGACGGAUUCUAUAACAUCUGAAAGAAAUGUGCUUAUUUUAUAAUGUGUCCUGGAGUCUAUUGAAUAACUGGCUGACGUGGGGAUCACGCAGGGGGGCUGGCCGAAAAAGGAGAGACACGGGCGGGCAGAGGGGCUACGCCGCGGCGCGUCUGGGAUUACAGUAAACACUAUUUGUUUCUUCAAUAACUUGAUAGGGUUUGACGAGAUAAUGCAAAAGCUGGCAUAUAAAACGCGAAGGAAACCAUGUAGCAUGUCUUGUUGUUGGGGUUCUGAGACGCUCAGACUGACCGCUGCCUAUAAGUUCAUGGAUGUUUACGUCAGUGAAUGAUUUGGAAGUUUGUAAAGUUCGUAAAAGCCAUCGACCACUGCUGUAUGAACUUUGUUUUUAAUAUCUGACGCAUUUUAUGAGUGCUGUCUAAGAUGGUUGAGAACAGAUGCUUUGUUCAGAGAGAGGAGGUUUACCGCUGGUUCUCCGUGUUGAGUUCGGCGCAGAGGGCUGAGUUCUUCUGCGGCCUUUUGGACCUAUGCGUUCCCAUUGAGCUGCGCUUCCUCGGUUCGUGUUUGGAAGACCUAGCCCGAAAAGACUACCACUCCCUGAGGGAUGCCGAAAUCAAAGCCAACAACCCGGCUGACCUCGCCAACCUUACCAACAUCACGGAUGAGGUCGUGAGGAGCAAGCUGCUCGUCUCACUCGCGCUCCUCAGCUCGGACAACCGCGUAGCGGCUGGAGUUUUGUUUCGCACCCUCACUCACAUCGACACCAUCAUUAAUAACUACGGACUUCAGCUUAACGAUGGCCAGACUGGAGAGCAGUUUUUGCUCCUCUUCACCAUGGCUUCGAACCAUCCCGCCUUUAGUUUUCAUCAAAAGCAGGUGCUGAGGCAAGAGUUGACGCAGAUCCAGGAGAUCCUACAGGUGACAGUUGCUGAGGCGUCGUCGACGUCACACGGGGGCGGGGCCUGCGCUGCAGCGCUUCCAAACGUGAGCGCGACCCCGACCUUCCCUUCCUACAUCACCGCUUCCACCUUCAACUCCUGCCAGGCUGGAUGUCCGUGCUGCAAGACUGUGCAACGGGAGGUCACAGGAGGUCAGACAGAUGAAGGCUUAGGUCCUGAGAUCGUGCCGCCAAGUCCGUCGCUCUUGUGUCAGGAAAUGCCACUCAAAGUCCACGUCCGAAAACCCAGCAAAGUUUAUGUUGAAAGAAUUGAACUAAGAGGAGUUACACACAAAUCAGACAAACCAACAGAAUACAUCCUGGAGGCCUUGUGGUCCGACUCCACUUUGUCGACUGUCAGCAAAACCCCUCAGGAAGUGCUGGAGUUCAUCUCCCAGCUCUCUCAACUCUUUCCUGAUGAAUGUCUGGAGAAACUUCUGCCUCAGAUGCCUGGACUUGAUUCCACUCAUGACCUAGAUCCUCGAUGCUUGACCUCUUUUCCGCCUCAUGUUCUCAAACACGACAAAGUCCGUUUCUUCUUCAGCACUUCGUCCGCACCGCAGCUCCCUACUAGCACAAAUCUGGGCUGUUUACUUCAGUAUAGGGGAGUGAGCAGGCCCAUUUGUGGUGUCGCCAGCAUCCAGCCUGUCCUAAGCGUCCAUUCCCCCCUCCCACAGAGCUCCCCUGCCCACCUGCCCCCUCUUCCCCCUCAGACAGCAGUGGCCAUCCUCCCCGGCACUGCUGUACCCAUGGGAGAGGGCAGUCCACCACAGACACACCUCACAAACCCUGGAGCCCAAUCCCAGCAGCCCAGCCCGGAGCAGAACGGCAUCCUGGACUGGCUUCGUAAACUGCGGUUGCAUAAAUAUUACCCUGUCUUCAAACAGCUAACCAUGGAGGAGUUCCUCGCUCUCACAGAAGAGGAUCUCAACAAGUACGACCUCACUCAGGGGGCCAAGAAGAAACUGAAGACUCAGCUAGAGCUUCAGAAAGAGAAGCUGGAGAAGAGAUAUGUGGUGUCUCAGUUUCCUGUUUCCUGUGGUGGGGUUGCCAGAGUGACCCCUUCCAGUCACAUCGGACCCCUGACACACGUACACCCUGGAAGUGGCACUGAGCUACGGGUAGACGUCGAGAACAGCUCGUUGCCUAUUCCACGGGACAGCAGUUCCUCCUCUGGCUAUUCCAGUGCUCCUUCCAGUCCAAUGACCCCUUUUUCACGUGACACUUCCUUCGACCGGGUCAAAGACCCUCACAGACGUUUGGAGUCUGGUUUGGAUUCUGGCGAGAAAGAGCGGUCAUGCUUUCUCCUCAAUCCUGUGGUAUCCACCGGUCCUAGCCGUCCCACUGCCCAAGUCCUCCCAGUCCAGAAUGAUCCCUCCCUCUGUCCCUCCCAAAUGAGUUUGCCCCCUCCCUCCCUGCCCCUUCUCUCCCCAGGCCGGGUUCUCAACUCUCCCCGCAAACCUCGCCCACCCCCUCUCUGUUCAGAAGAACGUCCCAAACCAGUGGGGUCCGGGGUUGCUGUGGGUGUCCGACUUGAGAACAUAUUUCCUGGGCUGUGUCUUGACGGUACCCCGGGACACCAAGACAUGUCGGCCCCCCGCGGGCCCCUUGCGGUGCUUCGUUCCCCUCCAGGUCUCAUGGUGGAGACCAGCACUGCUCUCACUGCCACAUCUAACACCCUCCACCAUGUCUCCCACCCACCCUUACACUUACAAGUGUCUUCUUCUGUACCACGUACAGGAUCGUACCCUUUUUCUACCCCGUCCUCCUGCCCGUCAUCAUGUUCCUCCACCAGACCCUCUUUCUCACCUGUCAGUGGAGUACCCAUAGGAACGGCCAGCAGCGUUCCCAUAGCGGCAGUACCUGGCAAUACGUACUGCAUAAACAGUACACCCGUGGUCACACCCAGUUCUAGCCCAGCGUCCACAGAGAAUAGUGGCUACGCCUCUGUGCAAGCAAACAGCAUUAACUCCAGUUCCUCAUUAUGCGUUUGUAGCUCUUGCGGGUGUAGCCGUAAUUGUGGCUCCUAUGGGGCGCUUCCGGCUAGCUACGCUGGCUACUUUCCACAUCCGUUCUCAGGAACAUCAGUGUUCACGUUAGGUCCUUUGCUUCAUUUCAGCCCGCUCCUCACAGGAAGUGGUACCGCCUCCCCUUUUUCCUACCCCCUGGUAGCCCCACCUAUCUACAACAGCAGCCUAUCACAUGACUCACAACAGAAUCUUGUGCUUCCCUCAGUGCAGGGUUUUCUUGGGGGAGGGGGCGGUGUGUACCAGCCCCAUGGAAUCAUGGGAAACGGAAGCUCUGGGCAUAAGAAAACAGGGAAUUUGUCCUGCUAUAACUGUGGGCUGAGUGGGCAUCGUGCACAAGACUGCAAGCAACCAGCAAUGGACUCUGCACAACAAGAAUGUGGCGGUUGGUUUGUGUUGUAUUUGUCCCGCCUCUCCUCCUCUGUGAUUGGACGGCUGGGUACAAAGUGACAGUGAUGAUCGCUGCGUUUAACCCAAAGAUGACCGUUCUUCAACUCUCGGCGAAUGGGACGUUUCGUCUGAAAUAUUCUCCGCAGUCAGACAGCCAGGACUCAGGGGACUAAAUGAUGUGUAUGGACAGAUUUGGACCUGCACCUUCCUCAGUGUGUAAAGACACUUGAUGUGAGACCCCCGCUGAGCAAAGACACUACAGUAUCUCUUCACAGGAAGAUUGAGUGAUCGAGUUUGAUCAGUUAUGGCUUUGAUGAAAGCCUUGUGCCAAAGAAUCACUUCACAGUGGAUCUUUGUAAAGGGAUGUUCAAGGAAGAACUCUUUUUUUGUGUUCUUCAUUACUCUUCACUCCGUUCGUUUCACUUGAGACUCGCUUGAGCAAGUCACUAUGGAGCAGCCAGCAGUGUAUCAGUGAACAUUGAUCGCACAUGUCAUUCUUGGAAGCAAAACGAGGUAAACUGACAGAAUUUGCUUGCCAAAUAACGUGCAAUUAUGACCAAGACUUUUUGCUCUUGGUGUGACAAGUCAACCUUUGGGAAUAAAAUACUGGCAGUUAUUUUUUUUUUCUGGAAAUUCAUAUGGGAAAGGAAAAACUGACAAUUGAGGAAGUGGAAAUGUUGUAUUCCAUCUCAAGAGGUCAUUUUUUAGCUUUUUGACUACCGGAAGUCUUCUUAAUCAUGUGUUAUGUUCCUGUUUGUUGUUCUCAUGGUAUAUUUGUUAAUGUCCUGGUUUUUGCUACAUUUGCUAUUUUCGAAUUAUAUUUUUUAUUACAUGUUCAAUGUUCUCUUCGCCAUAAAGGUGCCAUGUCAGGCUGACACUCCAAUAAAAGACAUUUAUACAGUCAAAGCACUCGAGACCGUUGAAGUAGAACUUUUUAAUUUACUAGCAUUAUUAAAACUGUAAUGAAAAAGAAGAAAUUGCUUCCCAGAUUUAUGAAUUUCAGCUUCUAAACUGAGAACUGAACACUAGAGUAAACACUAAAAAGGUCAAAACAGUGGGUUUUCCACGUUGUUUCUCAAUUACAUGGGCAUAUACUUUUUCCAAAGUGUUGAAAAAGUCGGACUUACACAAAAGACCCAUUUAGCCAAUAGAUGCCAUUCCAUUGUUGCUGUUUCAAAGCAAAUGGUGAUAUUUAUGAUCUGUGUUUUUCAGUGUCUAGCUGCCUUUUACAGAACAUUUGUUUUUAAUUAUAGAUCUUGCAGUUGCUGGAUAUGCAUGUUGCCUGAUCAUGAAUUACUACAGGCUGUAUGUAUUAUUUGUAGUAUUAUUAUCGCAGGAAAGCUUUUGAGCUAAAACGACAAUGCUGACGCAGCCAUUUUGUAUUCAGAAGUGAAUGUUUAUUGAAGAUUGAUUGUUGAAUUUUUGUAUAAUGUAUCAAUUUGACACUUUUUAAAAUGAAUUAAAAAUGUUUUUGAGAA